UUUUUUUGGUUGAAUGUUGUUUUUCAGUUGAUCUAUGGUUUUAGGUUGUUUAUCAGUAGAGUUUUGGUUUAAUGUUUUUCAGUUGAUCUAUGGUUUUAGGUUGUUUAUCAGUAGAGUUUUGGUUUAAUGUUUUUCAGUUGAUCUAUGGUUUUAGGUUGUUUAUCAGUAGAGUUUUGGUUUAAUGUUUUUCAGUUGAUCUAUGGUUUUAGGUUUAUCAGUAGAGUUUUGGUUGUAUUUCUACUGUGUGUCACUUCCUCAUGACUGUGUGAUGGAAUCGUAGAAAUAUAAUUUCUAGGGAUUCUAAAUAUGAAUCUACUUUCUAUUUAUAUGGAUGAGAUGACCCUUUGACUGUACUUUCCUGUUCCUUAACUCUACCUUCCCGUCCCUUAGCUCUACCUUCCCGUCCCUUAGCUCUACCUUCCCGUCCCUUAGCUCUACCUUCCCGUCCCUUAGCUCUACCUUCCCGUCCCUUAGCUCUACCU